GAUGAAGCACUAUGACGGGGUCAUCUAUAUGCGCCAGUUUUAUCAGAAGUACUUUGCCGCGACAGAAGGGUUGUCCUGGUUGGCUUGCCUGAGCGCGCCGCAGCGCUUAAAGAUGCUGGAAGAACUGAUGCAGUGGGAGGUGACAGCCUGACCCUGGAGUAGCAGACAUCAUGUGUGACUGAGUAUUGGUGUUAAUCACCGCGCCAGCAGGUAUUAUCUGCUGGCUUUUUUC
rnacentral:sRNA from 1 species